rnacentral:lncRNA from 1 species
UACUUGGUUUUGCUAUUUACUAUCAAUUCCAAGUUUACUAUCCACAGCGGUCACGGAUAUAUUACUAAAGAGAGUGAAUUUUAAAAUAGUAAACGAAAAAAUAACGGAUAUUGGAAAAAAGGGGGAGGGUAAAAAAAAAUGGUGACAUCCCAUUAGUCUGACAACCAUUAUUCCGACAGCCCAAUACUCCGACAACACACUAUUCUGACAUCCCAUUACUCCAACAGCCCAUUAUUACGACAACCCAUUACUCCGACAGCCCAUU